AAAAGUGAAAUCCCAAGGCUCAACCUUGGAAUUGCUUUAAAACUGCUAAUCUAGAGAUUGAAAGAGGAUAGAGGAAUUCCUAGUGUAGAGGUGAAAUUCGUAAAUAUUAGGAAGAACACCAGUGGCGAAGGCGUCUAUCUGGUUCAAAUCUGACGCUGAGGCGCGAAGGCGUGGGGAGCAAACAGGAUUAGAUACCCUGGUAGUCCACGCUGUAAACGAUGAAUGUUAAAUAUGGGAAGUUUUACUUUCUGUAUUACAGCUAACGCGUUAAACAUUCCGCCUGGGGACUACGGUCGCAAGAUUAAAACUCAAAGGAAUUGACGGGGACCCGCACAAGCGGUGGAGCAUGUGGUUUAAUUCGAUGCAACGCGAAAAACCUUACCACUCCUUGACAUGGAAAUUAUACCUAUUCGAAGGGAUAGGGUCGGUUCGUCCGGGUUUCACACAGGUGUUGCAUGGCUGUCGUCAGCUCGUGUCGUGAGAUGUUGGGUUAAGUCCCGCAACGAGCGCGACCCUCAUCCUUAGUUACCAUCAGGUAAUGCUGGGGACUUUAAGGAAACUGCCAGUGAUAAACUGGAGGAAGGUGGGGAUGAUGUCAAGUCAUCAUGGCCCUUAUGGAGUGGGCUACACACGUGCUACAAUGGUGGCUACAAUGGGCUGCAAAGUCGCGAGGCUAAGCUAAUCCCUUAAAAGCCAUCUCAGUUCGGAUUGUACUCUGCAACUCGAGUGCAUGAAGUUGGAAUCGCUAGUAAUCGUGGAUCAGCACGCCACGGUGAAUACGUUCUCGGGUCUUGUACACACUGCCCGUCACGCCAUGGGAAUUGGUUUCACUCGAAGCUAACGACCUAACAGCAAGGAGGGAGUUAUUUAAAGUGGGAUCGGUGACUGGGGAGAAGUCGUAACAAGGUAGCAGUAGGGGAAUCUGCGGC
rnacentral:rRNA from 1 species